GCAUAUGGAAUUUCUCAGGCUAGGGGUCUAAUCGGAACUGUAGCUGCCAGCCUACACCACAGCCACAGCAAUGUGAGAUUGGAACCACAUCUGCAACUUACACCACAGCUCACGGCAACACCAGAUCCUUAACCCACUGAGCAAGGCCAGGGAUUGAACCUGCAUCCUCAUGGUUACUAGUCAGGUUCGUUACCACUGAGCUACAACGUGAACUCCCUGGGGGAAAAUUUUUAAUCACUAAUUUAAUUUCUUUACUUGUUAUUCAUCAGUUCAUUUUUUCUUCUUGAAUUAGUAUUGGUAAUUGAUAUCUUUUUAGGACUUUUUCCUUUUCAUCUAAUUGAUAUAAUUUAUAAUAUAGUAUAAAAAAUCUGGAUCUUGAUUUUCGCACUAAAAGUUUAUAUUGCUCUUUACUUGUUCAUUAACUUACCUAGGCUAAAUCUGUGAAGUCUGCAUUCCCUGACAUUUAUGGAUACAAUUGUUCAGCUCAAUUUUUUAAACAAAUUAUUUAUUUACUUAUAUUCUUGGUUUUAUUUAAAUUCUGACUUCCUAGGGGACCUUCUGUGACUGAAUAGCUUAAUGGUUAGAUAAUGAUUCUACAGAGGUUAUAAUGACAACCUUGAAGCAGCAAAAGCCCAUCUUCUGCCAAUGAAUCUGUGUACAGGUAGGUGAGGACAUUCACAUUCAGAUCAUUUCUAAUCCUGCCCAGUCUCUUAGAUUUCACUGGCUCUUUUGGGUCUCCUCUGUGCAGCCUCAAAGUUGGCCAGGAUUAUGUGAAAUUAUCAGAGAAGUCUGAUCUCCACUUCUCAUACAUUCAUCCUCAGCCAGGAAUAGACUUGCCCCACACACAGCAGUAACCUAAGGAUAGUAGAGACAUUGGUCCUGGCCUGUUCAUCUGCCUCUGAAAAUAUUAGCCCCAUCCCUCUAUCACAGAAAAGAAAAUGCUGGUCCUUAUGGCCUUCCUUAUCCUGGCAGAACCCCUGCCUCAACUGAACACAGAUGUGGGCCAGAACACCACAAAUUCCCACUAUUCUUACUCAAAUUUCGUCAGUUUUUCCAUAAUACAUGCUUCCAAAAUUCUAAACCAUGGGUAGAUUUACAGAACAUUGAAAUGAUGUUAUUCUGUCAAUUUUUUCCAGCUCUGUAGCUGCUUUUUGUGAAAAAGAUUUGUAGUCUCUCUGUAGACUGUAACGGGAAGUACCACUUUGAAAUGCUUUUUAAAAAUCAGAGUUAGUAAUGCAAGAGAAAAAAAAAAACACUUGGCUUAUUUUCUGAUUAAAUCUGUUCUAUUGCUCUUUAAGAACUCUUGAUUUAUUUUUCAGAUUUCUCGAAGAUGCUAAUUUUAUUUUUCUAGGUUUUUAAAGUAAAGUUUAGUGCACUAAAUUGGUACUAUGGUACUGUUUCCUGUAGCAGUUUCUAAUCUUGGGUUUCUGUCCUGCAAAUUGUGAUCCUCUGUAUCCUCUUCUAUUUCUCCAAUUUGGAAGGCACCAGUUUGCCCCAUGACCUCAAUUCUCAAUUCUCUGAUGGAUAUAAGGAAAUUUAUUGAUUUUCAUUUUGUUCAGUUAUUCCUUUGUUGUGAAGACAGAAAUGAUGUCUUCUAAAAUCCCUAUCCACUGGGCCAGAUAUUGGAAGUCCAUCUACAUAUUUUUGUUUUUCAUAAAACAGGGAUAUAAAAUCUAUAAUAUGAAAAAUAAAUAUUACAAUCAUUUACUUAUUUCUUCCUUUUUUUCUUGAAUUUUACUAUGACAUUGCAGACAUCUACCAGUCAACAUCUCCAAAUUUUCUUUAAGUACUAAAGAGAGAACAUGUGCCUUGGUAUGUGUUAGGAUUUUCUAAAAAGGGAUAUUGUUUUGCUGUUACCUCAUGCCUACCAAGGGUCAUGUCAUUGUUAUGCUUCAUCUGCGAUGUUCAGCCUAUUUACAAGAAUAACAUAGUCCUAGUUUUCUCCACCUCCAUAGUAUGUAAUUUUGGGGGACAAGUUAUCACUACUUUAAUUAAGGUAUUUCUCCCUUUCUUUUAUCAUGUAUUAGUAACUGUCUUCUGUUACUUCCUCUCCUAAAACUAGCUUUUAAUUUAGCAUCUCCAUAAUCCUCUUCUUAAUCAUUUUCCUGCACUUUUUAUAAAAACUAGCUUCUGUUCCUCCUAAUACUCUUAAAACCAAAUGUAUUCAUUAUAAGUAUAUGCCAAGUGUUUUACUCCUUCAUUAGACCUAGUUAGUCAUGCUUCAGCUUUUAUAUAUAUAAAUGCAUAUUAUAUUUUCAAAAAUUAGUUUGCUUUUGUUUUUCCUUUGUAUUAUAAUUGGGACAUUGCAUUUUUGAAGUUAUGUGUAAAAGUAUGUUAGAUUAUAAAUUCUAUUUCAGGGUCAUUAUAAAAUGUUGGUUAUAGGAGUUGUUGAGUCUGAUAGGGUAGAGAAUCAGUGAUAUGAUGAAUUAAAUGAUACCUUUCUUAUUGUAGCCUAAUUAUCUUAAUUUCCUUUACAUAUGGUAAAAAUGUUAGAGGUCUAAUUCAACUGUUUACAUAAAGGUAUUGCUACUAAAUAAGAAAAAUGUUUUUAAAGUUUAGUUUUUAAAUUUUUUUUGUGUUAGGUCUAACAAGCUGUUUUAACCAAAUUCUAUUAUUUACCUGGAUGAAUAACAGAGACAACUGGUUGGCUACCUCAUAACCAUUCUCCACUUUCUUCCUUACUAAUAAUAACAACCCAAAUUUUAGUUCUAGUGACCAUUGGCUUCAACAAGUCUAACUGCUUACCCCCUGCAUCAAGAUACAGAGGGGAUGAUAACCAUUUUAAUAUAUAUAUUUUUUUGUCUUUUUGUCUUUCUAGGGCUGUAACCAUGGCAUAUGGAGGUUCCCAGGCUACAGGUCCAAUCUGAGCUAUAGCUGCUGGCCUACACCACAGCCACAGCAACGUGGGAUCCGAGCCACAUCUGUGACCUACACCAUAGCUCAUGGCAAUCCUGGAUCCUUAACCCCCAGAGCAAGGCCAGGGAUUGAACCCAUGUCCUCAUGGAUGCUAGUCAAGUUUGUUAACCAUUGAGUCACGAUGGGAAUUCUCAUUUUAAUAUAAAUUUAUAUUGAAAUAUAAUAAUAUUGGGAGUUCCUGUCAUGGCGCAGCAGAAACGAAUCUGACUAGGAACCAUGAGGUUGAGGGGUUGAUCCCUGGCCUCUCUCAGUGGGUUAAGGAUCCAGCGUUACCAUGAGCUGUGGUGUAGGUCGCAGAUGUGGCUUGGAUCUGGCAUUGCUGUGGUUGUGGUGUAGGCCGGUGGCUGCAGCUUGGAUUGGACCCCUAACCUGGGAACUUCCAUAUGCCGUGGGUGCAGCCCUAAAAAGACCAGGAAAAAGAAAAAAAGAAAGAAACAGAAUAUUGCAGAACAAAGAAGCCCUCCCUUGCCCUCUUUUAGCCAUACCUUGUGUUUGGAAGAAAUGUAACAUUUUAAUUUUUUCUUAAACUAUUCCUUUACUUUUGCCAAUUAUUAAUUUAGAAAUUUUAUAGUGUCACAGUAAACAUCAAUGAGCUAUGGGUCAAAUAUGCUAGGAGGUUUUGGACAUGUUUUCUUCACUCUUAAAAACAGAAUACAAGAAAGAAAUAAGUCCUCUUCCUCCUCUCUCACCUUUGGACUUUGUCCAAAUGUAUGAAAAUAUGAUGCUUAUCACUACUGAAAACAUCUUAUAACUAUAAGGGUUAAAAUCUAAGAAUAAAACCCAACAAUGUGAAGAGGGCAAAACAAAUGUGGAAAGAACCUGGGUGCAUGAUUGGGUCUUUAUUUUUUGAGAACUGCUCUAUUUCAGAUAUUCUGCUAUAUGAGACAAUAAAUUGUCUUUAUUAUUGAAGAUGCCUUUGGAUGUUUCUUCUUGCUUGUAUACAAUGAUAUUUUAAUAUCUUAUAAAUCCUUCAUAAAUUAGUCACCUUUUAUCAAUUCUCUCCCACUACAAUCUGGGUUCUACCUCCACCAUCCCAUUAAAACUUGCUCUCAACAACAUCACAAAUGAUUUUUCAUUUGUUAAAUUUCACGGACAUCUUUUAAUUCUUAAGCUUCUGUAUAUCUGGCAUUUUAUGCUGUUGACUACUCCUUCCCUGAACCUUACUCUUCCCAUAAUGUCAUACACCCUUUUCUUCUAAGCACCUUGGCCUAUUUUCUACACUCCUUCUAUUAUUUCUUAUCAUCUCCAUCUGUCCUUUUAAAUGAGGAUAUUUUAUAGUGAUUUCUCCAAACCCAUUUGUCAUUUUUACAAAGUCUCACUAUGUGAUCUCACCCUCUUACAUGAUUUUAGUUGUCACUUAAAAGAUGAUGAUACCUAAGUCUUUAUCUCUACACCUAACCUCUUCCAUGAUCUUCAGACCCUUAUAGUCCAAUUAUGUGUUAACUGUAUCCAAUUGAAUUUCAAAUGCACUUUAAACUCAAUAUAUAUCUUUCUAAGGAGGUGACAUUUACGUGGAUAUAUGAAUUAAGUGAGGGAGUGAACUUACAAAUACCUGGGGAAUGGGCAUUGCAGAAGGAAGGAAGAGCAAGCUUAAAGGCCCUGAUUACUAUGAUCUUAACACGUUUGGUUUAAGAGCUCAGCUGAUAUUCACCCAAGAGUGUUUCUUUUCUAAUUCAACAUCAGCCAGGAUUUCACCUAAUGACCUUUAGAAGGAGCUUAUCAGACAGCGCUAAGCUGUCCCCACAGUGAGUUGGGACAGUGAAAUGAAUUAUUCCACACUUAAUAUUAAGAAUAACAGGCAAUGUAUUUAAGAGAUUCCUCCUCUGUAAAUCUACUUCUGGUUUGCAUUUCUGAUUUUUUUUUUUUCUUUUUAGGGCUACACCUGCGGCAUAUGGAGUUUCCCAAGCUAGGGGUAAAUCAAAGCUGCAGCUGCCAGCCUACACCACAGCCAGAGCAACACCGGACGCUUAACCAACUGAGCAAGGCCAUGGAAUGAACCCAAAUCUUCAUGGAUACUAGUCAGAUUCCUUACUGCUGAGCCACAACAGGAACUCUAUAAUUCUGUGUUGUUGUUUCUGAUUUAUAAUAUUCUGUAAGACAUUGACAUUAUGUAUGAAAAUAUGAAACUGGGUUACUUGGAGAUGAAACUGGAGCUGCCAAAGAGGUAGAAAAAAAUUUUAAAUGCCGGAUGAGCUAAGUAAAUAAUCAGAGAAAUGGAGAAGAAAAAUGUUAUUCCAGAAGGGAGAAGAAAAAAAUACAUAUGAAAAUAACCAGCAUGUGGGUGACCUCAAUACAUAGUACAUCAUUUGUGAUAUUGAUAAUUAAAUAAUUAUAUGUUUAAGUAUGUUUUAAAAUGAUCACUGUUUACCAUGAAUAUAAAUAAAAACCAAAAUGCGUACUUUUCAGAUGAUAAAAGAAUAGAAUAUAAAGCAUAUAUUUUCUACUAAAGUAGAAAAUAGAUGUGAGAGAAAACAUAAAAUGAUAAAAUAAGAAGUUUUUAAUUCCAAAAAUAACUUUUAAAUGAAUCACCUUAUUAAAAAGACUUUCAGAUUAGAUUUAGAGAUAAAUUCAUCUAUUUGGUAUUUACAAGAUAGAUUUUUAAAGUAAGCAGUAUGAAAAAGCAAAAAUAAUUAGAUGUUAGGCACAGAUAUAUCAGCCAUGUAUAAUCAUAAGAAAAGUUUCACACUAUUAUUAUUUUAAAAAAUAGAAUUCAAAGUAAAAACAUAAACCUAGUGAAUUUUUUUUAAACUCUUGGACAAAGGAUACAAUCCACAAUGAAACUCUAAUAGUCAUAAUAGUCAUAAAUUUUCAUUCUCUAAAUAACAUACCAUCAAAACAUAAAAAUAAAAUGCUCUUUGAAAUACAAUUCAGCUGGGACUGCUCCAAAGGAACAGUGAAAUAAGAGAGCAGCAUCGAACUCUCAAGGCAUAUUCUAAUGUUUCUAGAAAAGAAGUAGUAAAAAGGAGGCUUUCUUCCAUUCUGUUUCACAAGUUACACAAAACCUAGAAAAUUCUCAAGCAAAGGAAAAGCAAAGUUUCUAGGAACAAAUGGCAGAGACCUAUUCAUCAUUCCUUAGCCCAUGAGAAUACAGGUUUGGAAGCAUCAACAGGAACACCUAUUUAGAAAAGUCCUGAGGGGGAUUCUCCAGCUGAGAGAAAUAUCUUGAAGUAGGAGAAGACUCAUCUUGGAGAUAGAAUACAUAAACCAAGGUGGAACAUGACUAAAAAUGUCCUGAUAGGAUGCUGGAGCUGGGAAAAUGUAGAGAUAGGAAGAAAUCUUGAACGGAGAAAGGAGGCAAGGAACUUUUGAGCAUUAAAACAUCCUUUAUUUUACAAAAUGCUAAUGUGUCCCUUAGGAUAACAUUUCAUUAGUAAUAAAAUCCUUGAAAAUAAUGGUUUAAAACGUAAAAAGUAUUUUUCUCUCAUUAGAAAUCCUAUGGUGGGUAAUCCAAAGCUGAUUAGGUGGCUCCACAAUGCCAUUAAUAACCCAGGCUCCUUUUCAUCUUCUUCUCAUUCUCGGACUUCUUUAGCAUAUAACUGUUAUAUUUGUGUCUAUAGCAUGAUCACAAGAUGGCUGCUCUAACCCCAGUCUCAUGUCUAAGU
rnacentral:lncRNA from 1 species